AGUCUAAUAGUAACACAUGGUAGCAGUGUCAGUAACCACCUCACUGAGAAAGUACAUUUUUGGUGUGUGUGUGUCUGUGUGUCGCGUCAAGAGCCCAAUCCACAAUUGAGCUUGAGAUCUGAGAGAUCAGGGGGAUCAGUGAGAUCCAGGAGAUUACAGUACACAUUCAGCUGGAUUAAAAGUGAGAAACUGUAUGAGAUUAUGUCCAUGAUCAGACUUAUUUUGAAAGAACUUUACCGCAAGUGUUACUUUCUAAAUAUACAAGCACUGAGAUCAGUUGAUUAUGAACAUUAAACCGGAUAGUCGAA
rnacentral:lncRNA from 1 species